rnacentral:rRNA from 1 species
UACGGAGAUGCGAGCGUUAUCCGGAUUUAUUGGGUUUAAAGGGUGCGCAGGCGGCACGGCAAGCCGGCGGUCAAAUCGCGGGGCUCAACCCCGCCCAGCCGUCGGAACUGCCGGGCUAGAGUGGGCGAGAAGUGCGCGGAAUGCGUGGUGUAGCGGUGAAAUGCAUAGAUUUCACGCAGAACUCCGAUUGCGAAGGCAGCGCACCGGCGCCCUACUGACGCUCAGGCACGAAAGCGUGGGUAUCGAACAGG